GCGGUUAGUGACGGCCGUCCGUGUGAUUAGGAGAUCAGCGACAGAGAGGAAGCCCUGGGUCCAGCAGACGCGGACGGCAUCCCGGUGGAUUUGGAUGCGAAGGCAGCCCGGGCGCAGACUGACAGGUCGGAGCUGUCCGAGCUUUAAAUGGAACCUUGCGUUUAAGGUCAAGGCCCGCGUGGAUAUCUCGAUCAGCUGAGCAGCACAAACCUGGAUGGGAGCGUUUAGAUGUGUUGAGUUAUGGAUGGUUCCUGUUUGGAUGCAAACCAUACGCCCAUGCGACGGGGUCAGUGGAUGUUGCUCCCAUCAGCGUCCAGGUUUGGCUAUAAUGAAGCGUUAAGGAUGCAAUAAGGAAAAAUAGCCGGAAAUAAACGUUUUAUUGUUAAUAAUAUUGUUAUUGGAGAUGAGAGUCAAUGAAUGCAUCAGUAAAAGAAAACAUGGAGAUAUUUGGUCUGUCAUCGCCUUCCCUGUCUCGUCCUCUUGGAUAACAGCGACAGAUUCACCGCACUGCCUUGACGCAAUCUUUUGCUGACAAUGUUUCCCCGCAACUGACAGUCUAAACCUCCGCCGGAUAUUUAAACCAAAGCACAAAACUAGAUCCCUGCACGGACUGAUCAUGAUGUGAAAGCCGCCACGAAACCUCUAGAGCGCAUCUGGAUGAUGAUCCACGCUGGCAUUCAUCUGUCUCCACCGAGUAGAAGGUUCGUGUCCAUUGGUUCCCACGCCACCAUCACAUACGGAGCCCCGCAGGAGCGACUGAUCCAGGCCGCUGCGCGCCCUCGGAGGCGUGCUCGUUGCGCUGAGAGCUGGCUGGAUGCUGAGCAUGAGCACGGUGCCGCGUUCUGCGCUCUGCAUUGCAUAUUUGCCACCCGACCACCGGCCUGUCUCCCUAAUAACGCUUCCGCUGUCCUGAACCGGCCGAGGCAUUUUGUGCAGACGCUGAUCUGGCUCAUCAGUGGCCCUAGAUGUUGGAUUUAGCCUGGAACGGCUCGGAGAGAGAUGUAGGACGAAGAUCCGCGCGUAUUACACACAAAUAACGGCCUAUAUUCACGGGGAUGGUCAGCGGGGGAGGUGCACCGAUUGGGGGCUGGAUGAGAAAUAACGUGGAUCUGCAAAAAGGAUUCACUAAGCUCAUGCACAAGUCUGCGAUUAUUACCAACAGACUAACACGAAUGCUGAUAGGCUGCUGAAUUAACAAUCCUCCCUGUUUUUGUUGUCAUUUUUUAAAAUCUGGAUGAGCUUCUAUCGAACUCCCAAUACAUCCAAAUAAACACAAACAAUAACGGAGGCAACAUAGAAAGAAAGAAACAGCCAUAUUGCAGUUAAACUGCUUUUUUUGUACCAGAGUUCCUCUGAAUUUUAGAAAAAGAAAAUGGGUUUUUGAAAAUGUAUGCUGCACUUGAUAUUUUGAAAGAGAAAUUUUGUGUGGGCUAGAAUGACUAUUUUCUCAAUGAGAGAACCUUAACAUUUUAAAGAAACCUGCUGCUUUCUUGUUAGAUACGAUUUUUCUUGUAAAAGUCUUAGACAGCUUCUUUCAAGAUCCGUUACAGAAAGAGUCAAUAGAUUUUUGGACCUGGGUCUACUGUAAUAAGUGUGUCACCAUUUGACCUGGUGUUAAUUGUCUUUGAAGGAACUUGUCUUGGGAAUACAUGUUACUUACAGAGCAUGAAGCAGAGGAGCAGCCAGUGACAGAGUUAAGCACAGUUUCAGCUGUGAGAUGCAGCCAUGGAGCAGAGCCCAUGCCGCUCUUUGAGCCUCUAACCCCCGCCUUCUCCCCUGGUGUUCGAGGACACCUUGUCUCGUUCAAUGGGCACUGCAUGGAUUUUGUGCCUGAGUUGACAAAGGGCAGGCCUUCAGCUUCAACCAGCAGUUAGGUUGCAAUGAACCCAUACGGCAGAGCGAGCACAACAGCAGACCCCCUGUCCUGCACCAGCUGUGGGGGUUGCUGCUCAUCGCCUCCUCCUUCUCUCAUCCCCCCUGGGCCACCCUUCUCCACUAAAUCAUCCUCUUCCAUGCCUUUGAAUAUGACCCCCCCUCCUCUGAUGCUUCCCUCCCCAAUAGUGCAGGUGGAAAAUGGCAGUAGCUGGAACUCCUCCACUAUCUCUUCAUCUGGUUCUCCAGACUCCCAUUCUGGUCACAGGUGUGGCACAAACAACCCCAACCCUUACUGGACAGCAGUGUUUGACUAUGAAGCCACUGCCGAUGAGGAGUUGACACUGCGACGUGGAGACUUACUUGAGGUUCUCUCCAAAGACUCUAAAGUAUCAGGGGAUGAGGGCUGGUGGACAGGCAAGAUCAAGGACAAGGUGGGUAUCUUUCCAUGUAACUAUGUCACAAGGGGUGACGCGGCUAGCUACCAGCAGCUCACUGCAGGUGGGGUGGGUGAGAGCCCCGUGGAGAUCGACUUCACAGAACUGAUCCUGGAAGAAGUAAUCGGUGCUGGAGGUUUCGGAAAGGUCUACAGAGGAGUGUGGCGGGGAGAGGAGGUGGCUGUGAAGGCUGCCAGGCAGGAUCCAGAUGAGGACAUAAGUGUGACAGCAGAAAGCGUGCGGCAGGAAGCAAGGCUGUUCUGGAUACUCCGGCACCCCAACAUUAUCGCUCUCCGAGGGGUCUGCCUACGGGAGCCUAACCUGUGUUUGGUGAUGGAAUACGCCAGAGGAGGGGCUCUGAGCCGGGCCCUGGCUGGAAAGAAAGUUCCUCCAAGAGUGCUGGUUAACUGGGCAGUCCAGAUUGCAACAGGGAUGGACUACCUCCACAACCAAGCAUUCGUACCCAUCAUCCACAGGGACCUCAAGUCCAACAAUAUACUCAUACUUCAGCCAGUGGAACGGAACGACCUGAGUGGCAAAACCCUGAAGAUCACAGACUUUGGUCUUGCUCGAGAGUGGCAUCAAACCACCAAGAUGAGUGCUGCAGGCACCUAUGCCUGGAUGGCCCCAGAGGUCAUCAAGCUCUCCCUUUUCUCCAAGAGCAGUGAUGUGUGGAGUUUUGGUGUUCUUCUCUGGGAACUGCUGACUGGAGAAGUUCCUUACAGAGAAAUAGACGCACUGGCAGUAGCCUAUGGUGUUGCCAUGAACAAGCUGACACUCCCCAUACCUUCAACCUGUCCAGAACCCUUUGCUCAGCUACUGACAGAGUGCUGGAGCCCCAACCCCCACAGCAGGCCUUCCUUCAGCAGCAUCCUGAGGCGACUGCUGACCAUCGAGCAGUCGGCCAUGUUUCAAAUGCCUCUAGAGUCAUUUCACUCCUUACAAGAAGACUGGAGAGUGGAGAUCCAGCUGAUGUUUGAUGAACUCAGGACCAAAGAGAAGGAGCUGAGAUCCUGGGAGGAGGAGUUGGCCCGGGCAGCAGAGGAGCAGAAAGAGCAGGAGGAGCAGCUAAGGAGAAGGGAGCAGGAGCUGGCAGAGAGGGAGAUCGACAUUGUGGAACGGGAGCUGAACAUAAUCAUCCACCAGAUGUACCAGGAGAAGCCUAGUGUCAAGAAGAGAAAGGGACACUUUAAGAAGAGCCGGCUGCUGAAGCUGGGCAGAGACAGCAGCUGCAUCAGCCUGCCCUCUGGGUUUGAGCACAAGAUCACCGUCCAGGCUUCUCCCAGUGUGGACAAGAGGAAAACCCAGAGAAGUGAGAGCACCACGCCACCUGCCAGCCCAGGGGUUAUUCCCCGCCUGAGAGCCAUUAGAUUGACGCCGAGCGACGGCAGCAAGACGUGGGGCCGCAGUGCUGUCUGUAAGAAGGAAGACCUGGGGUCCAGCAAGAAGAAAGGACGCACCUGGGGCCCAAGCUCCACGCAUCAGAAAGAGCGUGUCGGCGGGGAGGACAAGUUAAAAUCUCUGGGUGAAGGAUGCAAAGUCUAUUCAUCAAGUGCACCAAAUCUGGGGAAGUCUCCCAAACAUGCACCCAUGACGGCUGGCUUCUCCAGCCUGAAUGAAAUGGAGGAGUGCUUUGAGCCUGAGGAUUCUCCAGGGGGUUUACCAGCUUCUGAGAAGACCGACAGCGGGGCCUUGGAGGACUUUGGGCCUCCAUCGCCUGGAGGCGUCGGGAUGAGUGGAAGCUACCAGGAAUCACUUCGUCGCUGUAGCCAGAGGAAGAAAAGUGAUACGUUGCUGCUGGGGUGUGCCUCUCUGCUUGCCUCUGUUGGCCUGGGACAAGAUUUGUUGCAGCUGGGAAAACUGCAGGUGCAGCAAGAUGAACAGGACCUCAGGGAGGAGCAGAGGAAGAAAAAGGAAGGUAUUUUCCAGAGGACGGGACGCUUUCGCCGCAGCACAUCUCCCCCCAGCAGAAACCUCUCCUUGACCCUCUCCAGACACCACGACUCUGCGCUUGCCUGCAUGGACCCGUCUCCUUCUGUAACACUCCUCUCUUUAUCCUCCUUGUCCGACUGCAACUCAACCAAGUCCCUCCUCCCCUCCGACUCUGACGACUACCCCAUGACCCCAGUGGGCAGGAUCAAAACACCAGCAGCCUCCCCAGCUCCCGCCCUUAACCCUCUCUUAGACCUGCGGGCAGAGAGCUUCAAGAAGGAGCCAAACCAGUCCCUCACACCCACUCAUGUGUCUGCGACCAUGGCUCUGAACAGAGGACACAGGCGCACCCCCUCAGAUGGGGCGAUACGACCAAGAGCCCAAACUUUGGGACACCGGAGGACACCGUCAGAUGGAAGCAUGCCCAUGCCUCCUCCACCAGGAGCACCAAGCAAAGUCAUCGAAAAGGACGUGCCCUGGCUUUUUACUAAAGUAGCUGGGAUAGGCUCCAGCAACCCAUGCGACGCUGCACAGGCUUAAGCAGAGCAGAAGCUGGAUGGAUAGGUCGAUGGUUGGAAUUGUUUUCAGUGAAGGAGGGACAACCUUGGAUGCCAGGCUAAGGAUAUGAUGAAUGAACUGAGAGCACACCAGCAGACUUAAUGUGGAAAAACUAAGUGAACAACUUCCUUUAAUCUGGAAAAAUAAUAAAGCAGUUGUGACUGAAUUCAAAGGAUGAUAUGAUGGGAAAUUUAGAAGCAUCCUUGGUUGUUGGUGGUUCAUUUUGGUGCACCACUAUGUCACACACAAACAAAGGAAAUCCAAACUGAUGUUUUCAGGUAAAAAGACCCCCCCCCCCCCCGCUGAGUAAUGGCACGGUUUGGUGUCUUUUUAUACUUUCUUUGGCGUCAGUCAGGUGAUGUAGAUGUCUGUUCCUCCCAUCAUUACACCAGAUGUCAAUUGUCCAUCAACUCAGCUGCUUUGUGUUAGUUAAAUGCUCUCAGUCCUCUUAAGAGUUUGGGGUCUCCAAAUCUAGGCCUUGUGGACCUGGUUCCAGCUUAUCUCCUGUGGAUUACCUGGAUCAGGUGUGUUUGGCCAAAAAGCGAGCUUCAAUGGCAGAUUGAUUGGAAAACGUGUAGGAUACCGGCCUGUCAGGCCUGGAUUUGGACACUGAGCAGUACAGUGCGGUCCAUUAUAAAAUGGACCCACUAAAGUGGAGUUCAUGUUGGUUGUAGGUCCAUAGAAAAAUGGAAUGGCCCAAGUAGGGUGGAGCUACUGUAGAAACCUUUUGACUGGCUGAAGGUUCUUAUGACAAAAGAAAUCUCCAAGAAAGCGGCUGUAUUUCUCUUUGCCGCCCGCAAUCUUCUCUCAAACAACAAUAAAUGCUUUGUGUAUACAAAGUACCAAAUGCCAAGUAGGAAAAUUGAGCUGCUGGAUGACCACCAUUGUUGUUGUUGGGUUUACCCCGCUUGCGGCGUGACGGUCCAACUUUGAGUGGUAAUGCUCUCCUGAAUUGCCUGGACCAUUCUAAAGCAGACCAGACUAAAUCUUACCGUACUGUACCACAGAGUGGAAAUAGGGCUUUUGUCUUUCUCAGAUCCUUUUUGUCUAAUCCCUUUUAUGAAGUAAUUUUUCAUGGUUUUGCUUUGUCAUGUUUGGGUUCACAUUUUGCUUUGUCAUGCUUAGCUUUAGAUAUUAAAUUAAGUUCCCGUCUACAAGUUUCACUUCUGCAUUUUGGUCUUCACAGCCCUCACACAGAUGAUAAUAAAUCUUCUUUUAAUCAUUUUGUUCGACAGCAGCAAUAAUAAAUAAAAAAAACCUCUAAGGUAGAAAUGAGUCAAUUCCUUUAUAGUUUACCCACAAUUCUCUGCAAUCCAUUGUCCUGCAGGAUCCUGGUAACAUUUUGUUAUAUUGCUUUUUUAUUCUUUCUUUUAUUUACAAAGGAAGUUGGAAGAUUUAGCUGCAAAAUGACCCAAUAAAUGAGUUUUCAUUAACAUCUCCUGAUAUUUAAAACAAUAACUGAAACCGUACCACUCUGAGGCAUAUAGAUUAAUGAUUUGAGGAGAACAGUUAAAGUUCCACAUUGGAACCCCAUCUAAAAUAAAUAUUUUGAGGAAUUCCAUGAAGACAAAAGUGUUCAGAAUAAUGAGUGAUGUAAUCUGAUGCACUGCCAGACUAUAAUCAACCUGAGACGUUCAUUUUAUUGUUUAGAGGUAAGUGUUAUGUAAAAACUGUUUGUUGUGUCAUGUCACAACCAAACCGUUAAAAAUCUGAAUUCCAUUCUUAUUUCCAGCAUCUUUGAUGUCCACUGUGAUUCCAAAUUUCUGCUUCUUUCAUUUUCCUUUGUUUCUUUGUUUUAAAUGGCAGAAACCUCAACAUGCAUGCUGGAUCUGCAAAAUGAUACUAAACGAUGCCUUUACAUUUCUUCUGCUGUCAUGAGGAGCGUUCAACAAAGACACUUUUUCAACGCCACCACCCCAGCAGUGAGCAUGCUAAAGCAUUCAGAGUCGUACUGCCACAUGCAGAGGAGGGAGAGUCCCAAAAAAACCCAGCCUGACUCUUUAUUGCUACUCUACUGUGUCCACCGGAGCACAGAGAGUUGGAUGUGUGAAAAGAACCCUGCAGAAAUCUCUCAUUACUGAUUACAUAGAAUACAUAUUCUGGCUCUCUUUCUGUGACAAAGGGUACAUGUUUCAGUCCUCUGAGCAGAUGUCGUGACUUUCAUCUAGGGACUAAAAAACGCUUUUGACAGACAUUUUCAAUUUAUGCACUACUGCACACAACUGUCAGUCCAUCUCUGAGGAGAAAUGUGCAGUGUCUAAAGUCACACACUUCAUAUCAAAGUCCCCCCAAAAGAAAAGGCUAAUAUAUCCUUGUGGAACCAUUAGGAUGGUGGUAUUUUAGUCAAAUAUCUGAUUAAUAAGAUUUGGUCAAAUAACUCACUCUGGUAAAAACUGUUUAACACGUUCUUGUGGCAGAUGUGGAGAAAACCGAUCUUAGGAUUGCAUCUUUGAGUAUUUCUUUUUUUGAUAAAAAAUUGUGAAUCAGGAAGACCGACGAAAAAAAAUAUUUUUUUUAUUCAAAAAAUAUUAUUAUAUCCAUGUAAAUCUUCAUGUUCCUUGUCUGAGCUGGCAUCUGGCUCAAUACUGUAUGGCUGGGAGCUGCAAAAUAGUUCAGCAUUUUUGUUGGACCUGUAAUGUUAGGUUGGGGUUGUGAGGGGCUGUAAGCUAAAUAGACGGAUGAUGGGAAGGGGCAGGCUUACUCUGCCCCAACAAUCGUGCCCACAACUCAAAGGCAAUUUUCUAAUUAACCACUGUCGCUCUUCAGAAACUAUGUCCUAGAAAACAACACAGGUUUUCUUUCUAAUUGGGCUAAAAUCUGCAUGAUCAUAACUAAACAACCAAAUGGAACACUUUUGACAGCAGAUCAAAAGAGGAUUGAAGUGGAACUUUAACCAACUAAAAACGACUAAAUGCAUCAUUUUUGUAGCUGAAUCCCAACGUUUUAAUUUGCUAAACAGCAAUCUGCUGAAAUGCUAUUAAACUGUGAAUACUGCAAAUAUUGUUAUCCUCUGUCUUCAUCUCUGUCUCUCACUGCCAAUUUCUCUCUGUCAGCCUCCGCCUAUAGCCUCCUCCUCUUUCUGCCUGACAAAUGUCUGAGUUUUAUUUACUCUUGUGACAGCAGUCAUCUGGGCCUGUCAGGGCUGGAGUUUUAAUCAAUCUGGUCUUAACUGGAUCUUCCAGAGCAAUGAGAACCAGCUAAAUAUACAGAGCUCAAAUAUUCUUCUUUCACAUCCUAAAGGUCACGAAGGAAGGAAAGAACUUUUAUCUUCUUUUUUUGUAAGGAUAUUUCACUUUUAUAUACAGUUAUCUCCCCUUCAUCGUUAACAGCAUCUUAACAGUAGAAGCUGUCCAGGUGCCAUCACUCUGCUCUUUCCUCUGUUUCCCAUUUCACCAAAUUCCUGUCUUUAGAUCUUGAUGGUUUGCUGCAGAGAGGACGGUGUGAUUGGUACAGUAGAGGGAGUGCCAUCUGCAGCUCUGGCACUCGGCAUUCUUACAGCUCUGCUGUGGCCACCCCUCCAACAGCAGACGUACAUACACAGAGGGAGGGAAAAAACACCAACCAAACCUCCACCCCACCCCCUCCUCUAGCCCCCACAUAGCCUUCCUCUUUUUCCUCCAUCCUCCUGCAGAGUUGACUUUGUAUUCCAUCCUACUCACGUCCAGUGUUUAUCUGCAACUUUGCCUUCUCCUUCCCUUCAUUUUUGUGUCUUCUUGUUAUCGUCUGUUGUCCUUCAUAGCAUUUCUCAGGGAAGGAGCCAACAGGAAAUAAUUCUGGGUCUGCAGCCAUGACAGUCCCCUCUUCAGAUGCAGUUCUUAUAAUCUUAUAUCUAAAGAGCAUCUGAGUUGAGAGGCUGUGAUCAGUUCAGGAAUGGCAUGUGGACUGUCUUUUAAUUUGGGUUCAGAACAAAUUGCCCUCAUCUCCCAAAAGGCUUUUUACUUGUUCCCUUUUUUUAAGUGCCGAGUCAGGGUUCAAAAGUUCAAAUGACCUCAACCAAAAGCCUUCAAGGCUCUGAGUAUUACACAGAUUUAGCUGACAGCACAAAUUUAGAAAACCAAACUACGCCUGCCAUUAUCACCGCUUUCAUAAUUUCAAAUAAUCCAACUGAAUUCUCAUGAAAAGAGACGUUUCUGCAAAUGUUUAGAAUUUGGUUUAUUCUUGAAUCAGCUUCAACACAAAAUAAAAUAAGAAAUUUUUCCCGUCCUCCCAAUGUUGUGUCUGUAAAAUUUGAUGUCUGUUCUUCAAUGAAAAAAACAGUUGUUUUUUGGUUAAUAAAACUAGUUGUGAUUAUGUCAUCAUAUUCCUUAUGAAACCAACAUUUCGUCAGAAAUAUGAAAAGAGAACAUGGAUUUCAUCAUUGUUAAGCAUUUAUGGUAGAAAGAUUACAUAACCAUAUCCCAGCAGGCCUCUGGAACCACCAGUGAGAAGAAGGUCAUGCUGUUUCUAACCUCCCAGCAAAUGCUAAAAUGAAUUGUAGUUCAUAUUACAAGUGAAAAGCUAGUUUCUUGCAUAUUUUUACUUGAAAAUCACACAGCUUGCUUUGGAUAAUAUAUCUCACUGUACAUCUUUUUACACAAUAAGCAGGUUUAGUUGCUGGAUCAAUGUUCCAGACAGUGGAAUGCCUGGAUGCCACAUAAGUGAAACUAAAAGGGGGGCUGGUGUUACAAAACAAACAUUUUUACUCAUUCCCCCCUGCGGUGCCUUUGACUUGUGACUCAUCCACAGACUGAGCCAGUGAGGAGGAACAAAGGCAGAUUUCAACUGAGAUCAGAGUAAGCACAAGUUUAUGAAAAGUCAGACUGAUCGCUCAGAUGUAAGAUCAAGCCGUCCUGUGUGGUGCUGGCUUUCUGUCUGCAUUCUCAGACUUCAACAGAUUGGAAUUUAUACAUGCUUUACAGAAGUUCCAUCUUUUAGAAAGUUGCUUUUCAGUGCAAGAAUAAGGAGCAAACAUGGAGCCACAUCCGUUUUUUCUGUGAUUAAUUGAUUUGAUUAACGAAAAUCGUUAGUGCAUGUUUGCCUGCACGCAAUGAUCCUAUUGCAGGCUUACAGUCCACAACUGCAUCACAAUGACGAGUGCAUGACUGAACGAAUACAGAUACAGAAGCAAUCAGCAGCAAAACAGUUGCAUGGUCAAGAGAAGAAUCUGUAAUCUGAUUAGCAUGUGACACCUAUGAGAAAAAAAAAACACACGCCUGAGCUUCAUUGCAACAGUGAUAAUAAGGAAGCAACGUCAUUGACGAUAAUAGUGGGUGUGCUUGACGCACUUUUGUGACAUCAUCAAACUGCUGUUUUCCACUAAAGUUAGUUCAUUUCUUUAAAAACGUUUUUAAAAAAAUUGUAAAUGUACAAAACUUCUCUAAAGUUAGGAUUAUACUGUUAGCAACACAAAUAUUAUCUAUAGCAUAAUAACAGUGACAGCAAGUGUCUUGCAUGUGUCUUGUAUAAGCAACGCGAUUACAUUUUUCUAAACAAAUGCAGAUACCAGGGGGAGCAAAACAGACUUUUAACAAACUCCUCCCAAGUGGUGAACUGCAUCUGGUUUUCAUCGCACAGGCCAACACAUACAACCCAUGUGUGCUUUUUUUUUACUCAGUAUGGUGAGGGGUAAGAGUUGUUGAAAAAUUUGAAGAUAGCUGUUGGAAAUCAAUCACCCAACAGACUCUGUGUGUCAUGACACAGCAAAUAAAGAAGGUUAUUACAUAAAUAAAGACAUUUAAAUAAACUUCAAUUGUACAAACAGAUUAUAGUUUUUUUAAAUUAAAGUAUUAUUUAUUACAUAAAUCAAGUUUAUGUAAUAAGAGGCAUUCAGAGAUGGUGUAACACUAUAAGGUGUGUCAUUAUCCUGAUUGUUACAAAAUUGUAGGAGAGCAUUUGAAUUAGAGGGGGGUCAUUUUCUCCAUAGUACCAUCCCUGAUGAAGUUUUGUGCAAAGAAGCAACACUUGCACUACAUUUUUUAUGAUGUUUGAAAAUGAAAGUAACUGAAACCAGGUCCGUUCACAACUGAACCACUAGGCGGCACACCGAAAUGUGUUAUGUUUUUAAAUAUAGUUUAACAUGUAUAUUGUGGUUAAUAUAUUUGGAGAGACCUGAUAUUCCCACAUUUUUAAACCUGUGUUUGCAAAUACAGAGUUUUUUUAAAAAUAAAUUUUAGUUUUAAGUGUGGGAAAUAACACCAAGUUAAAAAACAUUGUUAUAUUCUACUUUAGGAUUAAUCGCAACCUAAUCAGAACUAACAGAAACACAGUUCAGUUCCAAUUAAACUAAAUUUAUUUCUAAUCAAGGCUCAAAGUUCACACUGCUGAGAAUUGCAUUCAAAAAAAAGAAAAAACUAGGGCAGUUAGCCAAAAUGCGCUCAUUUUUUUUGUUUUCAUUAUAUUUUUGGCAUCUCAGGUUUUCUGGUUAUCCAGUCCUUCAAAGUUGAAAUCCAAUUGGUGUUUUGGUGCUUUGCAACCAUUGUGGUAGCCAGUUAAUUCAGAAGAACAAUGUCAUUUAGUGAUGAGGUUGAGAGAUUUUUAUGCAUAGGGAUAGGAUCUUCUUCAUGCAGUGGGAGAUAAACAACUUUACUGCCUGUUGUUUUCUGGCUAUUGUGCUCUGAUGCCCUGUGUUUCUUUUAUUCUUCGUUACCGAGGUCUCUUUUUAAAAAAAAUAAAUAAAUAAAAAGCUGUUUGCUGGGAACUAUGAGCAACUUUUAGUUAUACACGUGAACUCAUAGCAGUGUGAUUUAGUGCCUGUUUCUUCAUGGUGCCAAUAAACAAUGACAGGUCGUCACAACACAAUUGAAGGGUUUAGCAGGUGCAUUGAUGAGCUAUAUUGACUUAAUGGCAGAAAUCCUGAUUUGGGCCGAUAUUGGGCCAAUUGUCUCUUCCUAUUGGGAAGUCUGAGAUUUGGUGACGUUUAAGCUAGCCAAGAUGGUGACGGCCGCAAACCUGAACAACUGGCUUCAAAGACCACCAAUGCAAACUAAGUCAAGGCGACCAUGCAAGUGUCUAUCUUCGUAUUUCAGUUCCCACCUUGCCCACUCAUGUGUAAAAGUGUCCUUGGACAAGACACUGAUCCCCACAUUGCUCCUGGAAGUUACAGAAUGGCGCUCUGAAUAGUAGCGACGCCACCAUCCGUGAGUGAGUGAGUUUAAAUGGGUGAAUAGGACUGUGAUUGUAAAACGUGUUGGACUUAAACCAAAGUAGAGAAGCACUAUAUCAGUACAUCCCAUUUACCAUUUGUAUUGGAGCAACUUUGAAUGAACUGACUAGGGUAAGGCUGUUUUUUAAAAUAAAAAGUGCACAAGUAGCAAUUAAAUUAGUCUCUGGUAGAUUUUUAUUUGUAUGAAGGUUUAUUCUCACUAUCAAGUUGAAAAAAGCAAUACUGCAAAUGGAUUUAAAGCAUGCAUGUGAACCUAUGGUAAGGCAAUCCACUGACUCUGCUGUGCUAUGUAAAAAAUGUUGCUGGAUCAGCUUGUCCCAACUGUCGCUUUAAGAGAAAGUCACUGUUAAUCAAAAGGGAAAAUUACCACCUUUACUCUUCAAUAAAAAUUUUCAGUGUGAAAGUAGCUUCAUUAGUCAAAUUAAUAUUAUAAAUCCUUGUACUUGUUCUAUCUUGAAGAAUAAGUGAAAAAAUAUACAACAAAACACUGCGCUUAGAUAAAAUCAACUAAAGAUGUAGAACAAACUGUGUUGAAAGCAAAAACCUUUUUGACAUAUGGAAAAACAUACACACACAUACACAACUAUUCCGUUCUCUCAGCUGACUGCUCCUCUUCAGGCCAGUGAACUCAGAGAAAAGCCUGCACACUUUUGCACAAGCUUUCACACAAACUGCUGACAUGACAUGCCUCAUGCCCACAUCUGUAUGGUUCUGGUUUGCUUUCCUCCUUCUGUCAUACGUCAGAGCCAAAGUCAGCCAGCCACUCUGAUGAUGGCGCCUCUCUCUGAACCACAGCGACCACCAGCAGAACACCACAAAACCAAGUGGCGCCCAAUAACAAAGAUCUACAAUCAGAUUUGCACACAAUUGUUUGAGGCUGACAUUGUUUUUGUGGCAAAGAUCUUCUAUCAUAUUUAUCGAGGUCACCUGUCAUCACUCUUUCUGUAUUACUGGCUCACAACCUGUUUUAAAGACAAAACUAAAUAAAACCUUAAGAUCGAAAAAAAUGUUUGGCAACCUUUGCUGUGUAUCAGUUUUUGUUUUGUUUUAAAUUAAGUGUGCUUGAUGAGAUAUUAAAGAAGCUGGAUGAGAGGAUGUUUCUAUGCAAAAAGAAAAAAAGGGUUUAAAAAGAUAUAUAAUAAAAGAGGACAAUAAAUGUGUUUAAUCUUAAUGAUUAUGUAAAUUUUAUGUGCCAAAAAAUUACUUAAAAAUGCAUUAAAUUUUAUUAAGUCUCCAAAGUAUGGGCUUUUGCCUUGCAGCAAAUAUCUUUGCUUAUAAUUACUAGAUUGUUUUGAUUAAAGUAUAAAAAAUAUUAGUUUAAAAAAAAUGAAAUUGUACAAAUAGAUAAUUGUUUUUUUAUUUAAAUUAUUAUCUAUUUUUAAUGUAUUAAUUUGAUCAAAACGUAACUUAAUAUUGUCUGUAUAUCUGUGAUACAUACUGUUCUGUAUGUCAAAAAGAAAAACAAAUAAAACAAAAUUCUGCUGAGCCAAACUUAUCAAAGGUGCCACAAAGUAAGAAAUGCAGAAACGGAUCAAACUUAAGCAUGGCAAACUGGAAUACCAAAGCUGGCUUCAUGCCUGAAAGAGUGUCCUAAAAAAA